rnacentral:misc_RNA from 1 species
GUUGAAGAACGUAGCGAAAUGCGAUAAGUAAUGUGAAUUGCAGAAUUCAGUGAAUCAUCGAAUCUUUGAACGCACAUUGCGCCCGCCGGCACUCCGGCGGGCAUGCCUGUCCGAGCGUCAUUUCAACCCUCAGGCCCGAACCCCCCCGGGGGGGGCGGGCCUGGUGUUGGGGCUCGGGGUCCGCGAGGCCCCCGUCCCCUAAAUCCAGUGGCGGUCGCGCCGCACCCUCCCCUGCGUAGUAGCACACCUCGCACCGGAGAGCAGCGCGUCCACGCCGUGAAACCCCCAACUUACCAAGGUUGACCUCGGAUCAGGUAGGAAUACCCGCUGAACUUAAGCAUAUCAAUAAGCGGAGGA